CUAAUAUACAAGGUAAACGGUGCAGUAUCCUAGUCGGGGUGGCCAUCUUCCAGGAAGGGCCUAAAAAUCCUUUGAAGGGCACAUCGAUGAAGUCCCUGGUGUUUGCUUGUUACGCCCAGUUUCGGGUGGAUGCUGGGGGUUAAGGAUUCCGGGCGCGCGCAACGGCAUGACGCAUACGACCCGGUUUCCGUGGAGACUUGAAGCUUGUGCGACGACGGUUGAAGCCCUUAGGCGGCUCCGAUCGCGUACGAAUCAGGUAUGAACCUGCAAGGCGGUGCACAGAAUCGUGUGCUGCGUGCAGCGUAGCCUGCCUUGCGUGGAAAUGCGGGAAAAGAAGACCAGACGGCCGGCCGCUAUGGCCAUAGCGGCUGCUGUCAUCGCUUCUGGAAACCAUUUCUGCAAAAGAGGCUAAGAUCAUGGCUUCCCUCGUUGUGGAAAACACCUAGGCUGUCGUAAAAGGGCAGGCAGGGGAUUGCAGUACGGACUAAGUGGCAAUCGGGUACCCAUUAUCAUGGCAACACUUGGGCGGAUGAAUGAAAUGGAAACGGCCUGUGCGGCAACGGCAGGUUUCAUCCGGUGAAAAACAACCCGACCUAAGCCGUAAGAUUUACUCUGCCUGCCGCCGUUUUUACAUUACAAAGU
rfam:Firmicutes bacterium CAG:110 genomic scaffold, scf213